rnacentral:rRNA from 1 species
AAAUUGAAGAGUUUGAUCAUGGCUCAGAUUGAACGCUGGCGGCAGGCCUAACACAUGCAAGUCGAACGGUAACAGGAAGCAGCUUGCUGCUUCGCUGACGAGUGGCGGACGGGUGAGUAAUGUCUGGGAAACUGCCUGAUGGAGGGGGAUAACUACUGGAAACGGUAGCUAAUACCGCAUAAUGUCGCAAGACCAAAGAGGGGGACCUUCGGGCCUCUUGCCAUCGGAUGUGCCCAGAUGGGAUUAGCUUGUUGGUGGGGUAACGGCUCACCAAGGCGACGAUCCCUAGCUGGUCUGAGAGGAUGACCAGCCACACUGGAACUGAGACACGGUCCAGACUCCUACGGGAGGC